rnacentral:lncRNA from 1 species
CCUCGGAGACACCUGCUGGCUGGGGCACCCCCUCCUCGCCCAGAGCUCUAGCAGGAGCUGAACCACCUCCAAAACGCAGUCACUCCCGGAUAUUCAAAGCUGACCUGGCAAAUCCACUUUCAGACCCUGCUGACCUGGGCCAGCCACUGGCGGUCAUGGUUGCUGGUGGGGGCGACUAGCUGUGCAGACCCACAGGUGCGUGGGCCCGGGCCGCCGGCGCCUCCUCCCCAACGCGGGGAGCCUGCCGGAUUCUCCUGGAGCCUGAAAUGCGUGCACCUCUUGGUUGCCCGCUUUCCACAGUGGGGAGGGCUCACGAGGCUUGGGUGACACAAGCGAGCCCCUCCUGGCAUCCGCGCCACAACACUUCCGGAAGGUUACGCUGUGGAAGUAUUUGGCAAACAAAGGAAGCAGAAUCUUGGCACUGCCUGCCUGCACGUGAAUCUCACCUCAGCUAAGCUGUACUCUGGCAGAAAGUUCAUCCAACCACUGUAGACAUUUCCUUUUUUUCUGGGAAGUUACUCUACCCACAAUACAGUAUGGAUGCAGCCACAGCAAAAGGAGUCAACUGACCAUGGACAAAGAGGCUGGAUUUCAGUGUUUAUCUUUUUUGGUGUUUUAGGCACAAAGAAGAAACUGAAUGGCUUGCUUUCAGCGGAGCCAUGGCCAAGACUAUUACACACAGACUAGAUCCUGCAGCAAGUACUGGUCCCUGGGAUCUGCCCAGUGGCUCAUGUUACUCUCUGGGGUACAUCCUUCAUGACACACCAUGGACACAGCUCACUAGUUUCAGUCAACCAAAAUUCUAGUUCUUGGGUGACAGGAAUGAUUGCCUAGAAUUUCCUUGAAAAUGUUAUGAAGAAGCUGACUGCAAAAUUUAUUUUUCCCUUUUAAGAGGUCCUUAUUCAACCAGGUCCAAUUACAAAAAGAUCUCAAAGGCCAGAUAACUUGUGAUUUUUUUGGUGGAAUAACAUGUCAAGUUUACUAAAAGAUGGGUCAUUAUAAAAAACUUUGUUAUUAAAACGCUGAAAAGAAGGUUGCAAAAUGAUCUAGCUAGAAAUUGGUGAUUUGAGCACCAACAAUAUAAAUAUUUUUAUAAAAAACAGUAUAAAAAUUAGUACCCUGUCUUAUUUCUACAAAACAUCAAUAGAAAGGUCAUAAAAAUCCAGAUUUUGUAAACUUUAUUGCCGAAAUAUUUGUUUGAAUGCUGGUGAUUUAGAUUAUCAAAUUUUCUACCAUUUCUUUUUUUUUUUUUUUUUUUUUUUUUUUUGAGACGGAGUCUUGCUGUGUCUCCUGGGCUGGAGUGCAGUGGCCGGAUCUCAGCUCACUGCAAGCUCCGCCUCCCGGGUUGACGCCAUUCUCCUGCCUCAGCCUCCUGAGUAGCUGGGACUACAGGCGCCCGCCACCUCGCCCGGCUAGUAUUUUUGUAUUUUUUAGUAGAGACGGGGUUUCACCGUG